rnacentral:rRNA from 1 species
CACGGGGGGGGCAAGCGUUGUCCGGAAUUAUUGGGCGUAAAGGGCGCGUAGGUGGGAAAGCAAGUCUGGGGUGCAAACUUGUGGCUUAACUGCAAGCUUGCCCUGGAUACUACUUUUCUUGAAUUCGGGAGAGGGAAACGGAAUUCCUGGUGUAGCGGUGAAAUGCGUAGAUAUCAGGAAGAACACCGGUGGCGAAGGCGGUUUCCUGGCCCGAUAUUGACACUGAUGCGCGAAAGUGUGGGGAGCAAACAGGAUUAGAUACCCUAGUAGUCC